rnacentral:rRNA from 1 species
AACGAACGCUGGCGGCAUGCCUAACACAUGCAAGUCGAACGGGCUGUAGCAAUACAGUCAGUGGCGAACGGGUGAUUAACGCGUGGGAACCUGCCUUGGAGUUCGGAAUAACUGCGGGAAACUGCAGCUAAUACCGGAUACGACCUAAGGGUGAAAGCAGCAAUGCGCUCCGAGAGGGGCCCGCGUCCGAUUAGCUAGUUGGUGAGGUAACGGCUCACCAAGGCGAUGAUCGGUAGCUGGUCUGAGAGGAUGAUCAGCCACACUGGAACUGAGACACGGUCCAGACUCCUACGGGUGGCAGCAGUGGGGAAUAUUGGACAAUGGUGGGAACCCUGAUCCAGCCAUGCCGCGUGUGUGAAGAAGGCCUUAUGGUUGUAAAGCACUUUAAGCGAGGAGGAGGCUACUGAGACUAAUACUCUUGGAUAGUGGACGUUACUCGCAGAAUAAGCACCGGCUAACUCUGUGCCAGCAGCCGCCGUAAAAC